GAACUUUCCAGAAAAGUCGGGAGCGGAGAGCGCCGGGGGGAGCUCCUGCAGACAGCAGGAGUGAGAGCCGGGUCCGUGCUGGGCUGCCCGCCGCCGCCACUACCACCAUGGUGAAGGAGACCACGUACUACGACGUGCUGGGAGUGAGCCCCAACGCCUCGGCAGAGGAGCUGAAGAAGGCGUACCGCAAGCUGGCACUGAAGUACCACCCCGACAAGAACCACAAUGAGGGCGAGAAGUUCAAGCAGAUCUCCCAGGCGUAUGAGGUGCUGUCCGACCCCAAGAAGAGGGACCUGUACGACAAGGGCGGCGAGCAGGCCAUUAAGGAGGGCGGCUCGGGCGGCGGCUUCGGGUCCCCCAUGGAUAUCUUCGACAUGUUCUUCGGCGGCGGCGGGAGGAUGCAGAGGGAGAGGCGAGGCAAAAAUGUGGUCCACCAGUUAUCCGUAAGUUUGGAAGAUAUGUACAACGGUGCAACAAGAAAGCUUGCACUGCAGAAGAAUGUGAUUUGUGACAAAUGUGAAGGUCGUGGUGGUAAGAAGGGUGCAGUAGAAUGCUGCCCGAACUGCAGAGGGACAGGCAUGCAAAUCAGAAUUCACCAGAUUGGGCCGGGUAUGGUGCAGCAAAUCCAGUCUGUGUGCAUGGAGUGCCAGGGGCAUGGAGAGCGCAUCAGCCCCAAGGACCGCUGCAAGAGCUGCACUGGCAGGAAAAUUGUUAGAGAGAAGAAAAUACUAGAAGUGCACAUUGACAAAGGCACAGAAAACGUCUUGGGAGACUCUGCAGACUCCGAUCACUUCUACUGUGUUUCAGUGUGAAGGGGAACCAGGAAUGAAGGAUGGUCAGAAAAUAACAUUCCAUGGUGAAGGGGACCAAGAGCCAGGACUAGAACCAGGGGAUAUUAUUAUUGUCUUGGAUCAAAAAGACCACUCUGUAUUCACAAGACGAGACGAAGACCUUCUUCUGUCUAUGGAUAUACAACUGGUUGAAGCACUGUGUGGCUUUCAAAAGCCUAUCACAACGCUGGAUAAUAGGACUAUCAUUAUUACCUCCCAUCCUGGCCAGGUUGUCAAGCAUGGGGCUAUUAAGUGUGUUUUAAAUGAAGGCAUGCCAAUUUAUCGCAGACCAUAUGAGAAAGGACGUCUCAUCAUAGAGUUCAGGGUGAACUUCCCAGAGAGUGGCUUCCUUUCCUCAGAUAAGCUGUUGUUACUUGAAAAACUACUACCUGCGAGACAGGAAAUAGAAGAAACUGAGGAAAUGGAGCAAGUGAACUUAGUGGACUUUGAUCCAUCUCAAAAAAGAAAACAUAUCUAUAAUGGGGAAGUCUAUGAAGAUGAUGAACACCACCCUAGAGGAGGUGUUCAAUGUCAGACAUCAUAGAAGGGCCAUAAGUAACUUGUGAUGCUUGUUUUGUAUGCGUUAGUGGAUGAGUGAAGGACUACAGGCAGUUCACCAUCACUUUCUGCUAUUCGUUGUUAUAACCAGCCAUAGUUGUUUUAUCUAAAGGCAUAAAGGAAAAAAAAAUAAACUAAUGAAACUGACUCUACAACUUGCGUAAAGCUCCAGGAUGCAUGCUCAAAUUGAGCACAGUUCACCUCUGCCUGAUGAUACAAGACAACUCCCUCACUAGACUGCUAGUCUUUUCUUUCAAGCCUUGUAAUUCCUGUGUGUGUGCAAUUGCUGAGGCUUAGACUAAGCUGCUGUGGUGAUCUUUUUGUGUAUUCUAAGUCUUGUACUCCAAAGUAUGCACAAGUGUGUAUAAGUCACGAUAAGAUAAAGUUACUAAGUUGUGUACCAGUUAGGAUAACAUGUUAAUGUUCGGGGUUUGCACUGGUGUUUGUCAAGUAGGGGCUGACUCUUAACACAGCCACAUAAUACAUGAAGCUAACAAGGAUGUGGUCAGUCUUCAUAAACUCAUUGAAGUCACAUGAUCUGAGUUCUCAAGUUUCUGCUCUUAAGGUCAAACUGAGUUUUUUGCCAGCUCUGUUAUGACCUUGGACCUGAAUGUGAAGCUUCAUUCCUGUCAUUGCUGACUGCUUUUUUGCUGAUGUUCUGCAGCACACUGUGUGUUUAGAGACAGUGGUUGUUCGGCUACUGCAGGAGCUUCCUUUGCUACCAUGCAUGAGUGAAAAACUCCAGGCCUUAUCAGCACAUGUGCUGUUUGGGGAUAGCCUGCCAGCAUGCGAAGCUUUACUUUGCUCUUAAUUACUGAAAUUAGAUACCCUACAGUGGUAUGUCAUGGAGAGCACUACUCGCCCUACUGCUGGGCAUCUGUGAGCCUGCAGGAGAAAGAAAUUUAUUGUCAGCAAGUGUCCCAACUGACGCAUCUAGGAUGUUCUGAAUUUAAUGUAUUGUGUGCAUUAUUUUAAGCUGACUCUUGAAAAUUCUGUAUGAAUGUUCUAAUUAUGUAGAUGAAGCAUUUCCAAUAUAAUUGCAAAAUUGU